UACAUUUACCAUUUACCAUUUCUCUCUCUCUCUCAUUCUCUUUCUCUUUCUCUUUCUUCUCUUCGUUGUCCCCCAUUUCUCAUCUUCCUCAUUUCUCAGGAAUAACAGGGGGAUCACGACCACUUUUGGGAAGAAAUUUUUCAACAACAAGAAGAAGAUAUUUGCCGCAUUUAGAUAAUAUCAUAUUUGUGAAUCUUUGAGCGGAUUUGGCAACGAAUAUGGCACUCCAUGGAUUACAAAAAUUAAGGAUUCAGCAGAAGAUUGGUGUCGACAUUUCUGUUUUUGCUCUUGUAAAUUGGUGAUAAAGGAAAGUUUUAAGAUGACCAGUUGCCUCAUUUAUCAUUUGUAAGGAAGUGGCCUGGAUUUGUUUUGAAGGACAUUAAAGAUUUACCUAUUUUCUGUUUGGUAAGAUGUGGACCUUGUAGCUUGUAGGGAGGCAAGGAUACUUGUUGUUAGAGGCAUGACUUUUCAUUGUCGAGCUGCAAUGAUGAUUUGUACCAUAGAGAUUGAACACCAAGAAAACCAGUUAUUUAUAACUAUAAUAUUGUCCUUGAUGUAUUAUUAACCAAAAACAGGCAGAAUUACUUGGUUAUAUAUAGAAUGUAUCUGACUUGAACAGUUAUAAACAUCACUAAAUACAGGUUAUCUUUAUUAU